rnacentral:rRNA from 1 species
ACAAUGGCAGGUACAGCGGGAAGUCACCUGGCGACAGGGAGCGGAACCCGAAAGCCUGUCUCAGUUCGGAUUGGAGUCUGNAACCCGACUCCAUGAAGCUGGAUUCGCUAGUAAUCGCGCAUCAGCCACGGCGCGGUGAAUACGUUCCCGGGCCUUGUACACACCGCCCGUCAAGCCAUGGAAGCCGGGGGUGCCUGAAGUGCGCUGCCGCAAGGAGCGCCCUAGGGUAAAACCGGUGACUGGGGCUAAGUCGUAACAAGGUAAC